AACUUUCGACAACGGAUCACUUGGCUCUCGCAUCGAUGCAGAACGCAGCGAAAUGCGAUAAGUAAUGUGAAUUGCAGAAUUCAGUGAAUCAUCGAAUCUUUGAACGCACAUUGCGCCCUUUGGUAUUCCUUAGGGCAUGCCUGUUCGAGCGUCACUAAAAACCUUCUCACAGAAAAUGUGGUAUUGGUAGAAGUGGGUAGUCCUAACAAAUAGUACUUUGUCUUACUCUACAGAAAUAAAUAGGCCAGUAAAGUGGACCAUGGUAGUAGACUCUAGGAGUGUUGUAAAAUGCUAAACUAGUCUUCACCAGGUGUAGAUCCUGAGCUAAACGGACACCCCCUUUAGUCCAAAUCAGAGAGGUUGACCUCGGAUCAGGUAGGGAUACCCGCUGAACUUAAGCAUAUCAAUAAGCGGAGGCU
rnacentral:misc_RNA from 1 species